ACAGAUGUCACUUACGUGGACUCUGAGUCGGAGGAGCCACAGUAUAUAAUUAUUGACAGUGAGGAGGAAGGGGAGAAGAAGCCCUCUCCCCAACUUGGCCCUACACUGUCACAGGCGGUGGCGGAGGAGGAGGACCAGGACUCUCUGUCCCUCACCACACUGCACCCAUUAAGUAAGUCCAGUCCGGUACAUCUUGCCUCUGUAGAGCCAGUU